rnacentral:rRNA from 1 species
CCUACGGGAGGCAGCAGUGAGGAAUAUUGGUCAAUGGACGGAAGUCUGAACCAGCCAUGCCGCGUGCAGGAAGACGGCUCUCUGAGUUGUAACCUGCUUUUGUACGAGGGUAAACCUGAAUACUUGUAUUCAGAUGAAAGUCCUUUACGUAUAAGGCUCGGCUAACUCCGUGCCAGCAGCCGCGGUAAUACGGAGGAUCUAAGCGUUAUCCGGAUUUAUUGGGUUUAAAGGGUGCGUAGGCGGAUUGAUAAGUUAGAGGUGAAAUGUCCGAGCUUAACUCGGGAACUGCCUCUAAUACUGUUGAUCUAGAGAGUAGAUGCGGUAGGCGGAAUGUAUGGUGUAGCGGUGAAAUGCUUAGAGAUCAGACAGAACACCGAUUGCGAAGGCAGCUUACCAAUCUAUAUCUGACGUUGAGGCACGAAAGCGUGGGGAGCAAACAGGAUUAGAUACCCUGGUAGUC